GGAGGAAAAGAAACUAACAAGGAUUCCCCUAGUAACGGCGAGUGAAGCGGGAAGAGCUCAAAUUUGAAAUCUGGCGGUCUAAGGCCGUCCGAGUUGUAAUCUAGAGAGGUGUUUUCCGUGCCGGACCGUGUACAAGUCCCUUGGAACAGGGCGUCAUAGAGGGUGAGAAUCCCGUCCAUGACACGGACUACCGGUGCUCUGUGAUACACCUUCAAAGAGUCGAGUUGUUUGGGAAUGCAGCUCAAAAUGGGUGGUAAAUUCCAUCUAAAGCUAAAUACAGGCGAGAGACCGAUAGCGAACAAGUACCGUGAGGGAAAGAUGAAAAGAACUUUGGAAAGAGAGUUAAACAGUACGUGAAAUUGUUGAAAGGGAAACGCUUGAAGUCAGUCGCGUCUGCCGGGACUCAGCCUUGCUUCUGCUUGGUGCACUUCUCGGUGGAUGGGCCAGCAUCGAUUUUGAUUGCCGGAAAAGGGCGGGAGGAAUGUGGCAGCUUUUGCUGUGUUAUAGCCUUCUGUCGUACACGGUGGUUGGGAUCGAGGACUGCAGCACGCCUUUGGUCGGGGUUCGCCCACGCCACGUGCUUAGGAUGCUGGCGUAAUG
rnacentral:rRNA from 1 species